rnacentral:rRNA from 1 species
UACAGAGGUGGCAAGCGUUGUUCGGAAUUACUGGGCGUAAAGGGCGAGUAGGUGGCCAUCUAAGUCAGACGUGAAAUCCCCCGGCUUAACCUGGGAACUGCGUCUGAUACUGGACGGCUAGAGUAUGGGAGAGGGAUGUAGAAUUCCAGGUGUAGCGGUGAAAUGCGUAGAUAUCGGGAGGAACACCUGAGGCGAAGGCGGGCUACUGGGCCGAUACUGACGCUGAUGCGCGAAAGCCAGGGGAGCGAACGGG